UCUUAAUAAGAUGCUUGGGGCACUAAAAGCCAGGCUCAAAAGGAAGAAAUUACUGAUCUAAUGAGAGAGGGAGUAGCGUUAAUUCUCAGCUUACUUCUCGUUUCUUGGCGAUGUAAAUGCCAGGAAGCCUUAUUCACACAUGAAUAAACUGAGGGGGAGAAAGGAGCUCUGUACCAGUGAUCCCACCCCAUUGUCUAAGCUCCUUCAGAGCAAGGAGCCGGAAAGCACACCAGAAUUCAUCAUACGGUUUAUUUUUAAUGCUCUGUGAGCUGACAGCUCAGUGGGUUCUGGGUACCAGAGUGCAGAAACAGAAGAAUGGGAGCUGCCGAGAGUGUGGAGGACUCAUCCCCUAGACUUUAGCAUCCUCCAUCUCCUCCACAUUGACUCCGGGGUUUAGAACCCUUGUGAGGCUGUAAGACCCCAACCCUCAGUCAGUGGCACUUACUUCACGAUGCCCCUGAGUGAGACACCGAGACGAAGAUUGAUGCAAAAGCAAGAGGUUUAUUUUCCAGCGCAUCAGGGUCAACCUCAAUCAGUCCUUCAAGGAUGGUCAUACACCCAGAGUUCUGGGAGACACCACACGGCAUGAGACUCCGAGAGGACAAAGCAAGCAACUGCCAGCGGUGGAGCCAGGACCAAACACCUUUGACCAGCCAGUUCUCCAGGUCAACCUGAAGUUGUUUAAAAAGCAGAAAGAAAGCUCAAAUGAGCAAGAGACUCACAUUUAUUUUAUCAAUUAAAUGUAUUCUUUGAUGAUACUGCACAUAAACAAUACCUCCUGUUGUGUUUUACAAAAAUAAAGAGAGAAGGAAUAUGCUUGA